GGUCGCCCCGGACCCUGUAUUUCUUUCUUUUUCUGUUUUUUUUAGCUCUGACUUUGGGAAAAAAAUUUCCUUCCCGUGUGUGUGGUGCGACGGUGAUAUAGAUUGUGCUGCGGUUGUAACUGGAGUGAGGGCGCUCUUGCAUGUUUUGGAGCUGUUGCAGUGCAACCACGAAUUCUUCUCUUCUUGCGGGGAGUGGUGCGGCGUCGUUGCAUAUAUUUGACCUGCAGUUGUGCACGGGAAGACAUCUCAAUUUUUUUUCUUGGUUUUUGUUCUAAUUCAUUGAGGGUUGUUGGUUCCGUUCAUGGUUUGGCUGGAGUAGCGGCAGCAUCGCAAAUCAACGUCACGGCUAGAGCAUUGGCACUUUGUAUUGGAAGGCGAGGUGCAUGACUUCUAGACAACCCUUUAUGCUGGAUCGUGGAACUCCUUAAUUAAACCUCGCUAGUAGCGAUGUUUCUUCGUCUACAUCAACUUUUGGUUUAGAGGGAGGUCUUGACAAAGGAUCGUUUUUUCUUCGACAUUGUUGGCAAAAGUGGAGAAGAAGUAUGAUUCACUUGGUGACACUGUGUGUCAUUGACUAGUCAUAGUCAAGGACUCGGUGCAAGUUGGAGUGAAGUCGUUGCAAGAAUCCAAAGUGGAACUGGUCAAAAACUCAGCAUGGAUUGUUAUGGCAUUAAGCUAGAUUCAACGCAGCUGCUUUGUGAGCCAUGAAUGUCCUUUUGGGUAGAUUAUAGUUCAAGUAUAUUUUCUUGUAUUUUUAGACAGGGACUUGCUUACGAGAAAAGUGACGCAAGGACCAUGAUGAUCUGUCUUAUGUUGUGAGUAUUGAAUCUGAGAUCUCUUCUGGGACAUGCUGGAACUCGAAGUGUUGCAAAGUGAGCUUAUUGGGAAUACAGUGAGUGAGUGCAGCCACUCCUACGAGGAGUUUGUGUCCACUCUAGUUCUUUCAAAAUAGGUUCAAGUAUUGUAGGUAGAAAUAGUUGGUAUUGUCAGGGUCGAUUAGUUGAUCACAAAUGAUUGGCACUGCAUGCAGCACUUGUUGCUCUGUUAUUUGGUUCAGAGUUUCGUAGCACAAACCCAUGCUGCGCAUGAAAAGUGUAUAAUUUUUAAGUUUUAAUUCUGGAGCAACAACUGUGAUAGACAUACAGCAGCUGAUCUUCACCAACUCGGGUUGGUUCCUUUUUUACUAA